rnacentral:rRNA from 1 species
GUGCACCAGUCGCGAAUUUUUCACAAUGGGGGAAACCCUGAUGGAGCGACGCCGCGUGGAGGAUGAAGGCCCUCGGGUCGUAAACUCCUGUCAUGCGGGAACAAGAAAGUGAUAGUACCGCAAGAGGAAGAGACGGCUAACUCUGUGCCAGCAGCCGCGGUAAUACAGAGGUCUCAAGCGUUAUUCGGAUUCAUUGGGCGUAAAGGGUGCGUAGGUGGCGAUGUAAGUCUGGUGUGAAAUCUCGGGGCUUAACCCCGAAACUGCAUUGGAUACUGCGUUGCUUGAGGAUUGUAGAGGAGAGUGGAAUUCACGGUGUAGCAGUGAAAUGCGUAGAUAUCGUGAGGAAGACCAGUUGCGAAGGCGACUCUCUGGGCAAUUCCUGACACUGAGGCACGAAGGCCAGGGGAGCAAAACGGGAUUAGAUACCCCCGUAGU